rnacentral:rRNA from 1 species
UACGAAGGGGGCGAGCGUUGUUCGGAAUCACUGGGUGUAAAGGGCGCGUAGGCGGCGGACCAAGUCGAGUGUGAAAGCCCCGGGCUCAACCUGGGAGGUGCGCUCGCGACGGGUUUGCUGGAGUUUCGGGAGAGGAGCGUGGAAUUCCCAGUGUAGAGGUGAAAUUCGUAGAUAUUGGGAAGAACACCGGUGGCGAAGGCGGCGUCUGGACCGAGACUGACGCUGAGGCGCGAAAAGCGUGGGGGAGCAAACAGGG